UACGUAGGGUGCAAGCGUUAAUCGGAAUUACUGGGCGUAAAGCGUGCGCAGGCGGUUUUGUAAGUCUGACGUGAAAUCCCCGGGCUCAACCUGGGAAUUGCGUUGGAGACUGCACGGCUAGAAUCUGGCAGAGGGGGGUAGAAUUCCACGUGUAGCAGUGAAAUGCGUAGAGAUGUGGAGGAACACCGAUGGCGAAGGCAGCCCCCUGGGUCAAGAUUGACGCUCAUGCACGAAAGCGUGGGGAGCAAACAGG
rnacentral:rRNA from 1 species